rnacentral:rRNA from 1 species
GGGAGUAGCGGUCGCAAGAUUAAUANUCCAAAGGAAUUGACCGGGGGCCUGCACAAGCCGGUGGAGCNAUGUGGUUUAAUUCGGAAGCAACGCGCAGAACCCUUACCAGCGUUUGACAUGGNCUAGUAUGGUUUCCAGAGAUGGAUUUCCUUCCAGCCUCGGGCUGGGCUAGCACACAGGUGGCUGCAUGGCUGUCGUCAGNCUCGUGUCGUGAGAUGNUGGGUUAAGUCCCGCAACGAGCGCAACCNUCGUCCUUAGUUGCCAUCAUUCAGUUGGGCACUCUAAGGAAACCGCCGGUGAUAAGCCGGAGGAAGGUGGGGAUGACGUCAAGUCCUCAUGGCCCUUACACGCUGGGCUACACACGUGCUACAAUGGCGGUGACAGUGAGCAGCUAACUCGCGAGAGUAUGCUAAUCUCCAAAAGCCGUCUCAGUUCGGAUUGUUCUCUGCAACUCGAGAGCAUGAAGGCGGAAUCGCUAGUAAUCGUGGAUCAGCAUGCCACGGUGAAUACGUUCCCGGGCCUUGUACACACCGCCCGUCACACCAUGGGAGUUGGUUCUACCCGAAGCCGGUACGCUAACCGCAAGGAGGCAGCCGACCACGGUAGGGUCAGCGACUGGGGUGAAGUCGUAANAAGGUACC